CAAUAGCGUAUAUUAAAGUUGUUGCAGUUAAAAAGCUCGUAGUUGGAUUUCUGGUCGGAAGCUCCUGUCCUCUGAUGAGCGUACAAGUGCGUCCUACCAUCCUUCUGUUAACCUUUAAGGCUUUCGCGGCUUUCUAGGGGCUCAGAUAUUUUACCUUGAGAAAAUUAGAGUGUUUCAGGCAGGCUAGCGCCGGAAUACAUUAGCAUGGAAUAAUGGAAUAGGACUUUUGCCUCUUCUGUUGGUCAUGAGGCUCGAGUAAUGAUUAAUAGGGAUAGUUGGGGGCAUUAGUACUUAACUGCCAGAGGUGAAAUUCUCGGAUUUGUUAAAGACUAACUUAUGCGAAAGCAUUUGCCAAGGAUGUUUUCAUUAA
rnacentral:rRNA from 1 species